rnacentral:sRNA from 1 species
AGCAAUAUCACCAGCUCGGUGGAAGAU